rnacentral:misc_RNA from 1 species
CGAAAUUCGGCGCGCUUCGGCGCUGCCUUAUUCACCCACCCUUUGUCUACGUGUACCUCUAUAGCUUCCUCGGCGGGCUCGCCCGCCGCCAGGAACCCACGAAACCCCUUGCAUUAUACACGAAAACUUCUGAUAACAAACCUAAAUCAUUA